GAUGAACGCUGGCGGCGUGCCUAAUACAUGCCAGUCGAGCGAACAGACGAGGAGCUUGCUCCUCUGACGUUAGCGGCGGACGGGUGAGUAACACGUGGAUAACCUACCUAUAAGACUGGGAUAACUUCGGGAAACCGGAGCUAAUACCGGAUAAUAUAUUGAACCGCAUGGUUCAAUAGUGAAAGACGGUUUUGGUGUCACUUAUAGAUGGAUCCGCGCCGCAUUAGUUAGUUGGGAAGGUAACGGCUUUCCAAGGCUACGAUGCGUAGGCGAACUGAGAGGGUGAUCGGCCACACUGGAGCUGAACCACGGUCCAGGCUCCUACGGGAGGCAGCAGUAGGGAAUCUUCCGCAAUGGUCGAAAGCAUGACGGAGCAACGCCGCGUGAGUGAUGAAGGUCUUCGGAUCGUAAAACUCUGUUAUUAGGGAAGAACAAAUGUGUAAGUAACUAUGCACGUCUUGACGGUACCUAGUCAGAAAGCCACGGCUAACUACGUG
rnacentral:rRNA from 1 species